UACGAAGGGGGCUAGCGUUGCUCGGAAUUACUGGGCGUAAAGCGCACGUAGGCGGAUUGUUAAGUCGGGGGUGAAAUCCUGGAGCUCAACUUCAGAAUUGCCUUCGAUACUGGCUUUCUAGAGGCUGGAAGAGGUUAGUGGAAUUCCCAGUGUAGAGGUGAAAUUCGUAGAUAUUGGGAAGAACACCAGUGGCGAAGGCGGCUAACUGGUCCAGAUCUGACGCUGAGGUGCGAAAGCGUGGGGAGCAAACAGG
rnacentral:rRNA from 1 species